UACGAAGGGGGCUAGCGUUGUUCGGAAUUACUGGGCGUAAAGCGCACGUAGGCGGAUAUUUAAGUCAGGGGUGAAAUCCCGGGGCUCAACCCCGGAACUGCCUUUGUUACUGGGUAUCUCGAGUCCGAGAGAGGUGAGUGGAAUUCCGAGUGUAGAGGUGAAAUUCGUAGAUAUUCGGAGGAACACCAGUGGCGAAGGCGGCUCACUGGCUCGGUACUGACGCUGAGGUGCGAAAGCGUGGGGAGCAAACAGG
rnacentral:rRNA from 1 species